GCAGUGAUGGUUCAGUGGUAGAAUUCUCGCCUUCCAUGUGGGAGACCCAGGUUCAAUUCCAGGCCUAUGCA
rfam:Loxodonta africana unplaced genomic scaffold scaffold_16, whole genome shotgun sequence.